rnacentral:rRNA from 1 species
CCUACGGGAGGCAGCAGUGGGGAAUAUUGCACAAUGGGGGGAACCCUGAUGCAGCGACGCCGCGUGGGUGAAGAAGCGCCUCGGCGCGUAAAGCCCUGUCAGCAGGGAAGAAAAUGACGGUACCUGAAGAAGAAGCCCCGGCUAACUACGUGCCAGCAGCCGCGGUAAUACGUAGGGGGCAAGCGUUAUCCGGAUUUACUGGGGGGAAAGGGGGCGCAGACGGCGAUGCAAGCCAGGAGUGAAAGCCCGGGGCCCAACCCCGGGACUGCUCUUGGAACUGUGUGGCUGGAGUGCAGGAGGGGCAGGCGGAAUUCCUGGUGUAGCGGUGAAAUGCGUAGAUAUCAGGAGGAACACCGGUGGCGAAGGCGGCCUGCUGGACUGCAACUGACGUUGAGGCACGAAAGCGUGGGGAGCAAACAGGAUUAGAUACCCCUGUAGUC